AACGGCCCCUAUGUGUUGCAGGUGCUCUGCCCAGGUCUGGCUAUAUAUGGCGAUAUUGUCCAGGUGUGCGCAUGCAUAUUCCUGGAACCCGUCCAGUAGCCGAUCUACCAUCCUUUGAAAGGUCGUCGGGGCGUUUUUCAUCCCGAACGGCAUGACCCGAAAUUGGUACAGGCCAAACGGGGUGACAAACGCCGACUUGGGGAUGGCAUCCUUGGCUAGUGGAAUUUGCCAGUAUCCCUUACAUAAAUCUAUGGUAGUGAGAUACUGACCAAUUGCCAUCUUAUCCAGCAGCUCGUCUAUCCGGGGCAUCGGAGAGGCAUCAGACACAGUUUUGUCAUUUAGCCUCUGGUAGUCAACACAAAAACGUGUCGUGCCAUCCUUCUUAGGUACCAGCACUACCGGCGAUGCCCAGGGGCUAUCGGAAUGUUCAAUAACACCUAGCUGCAACAUUUCCUCAAUCUCUUUCCUCAUAUGUUCCCUGACUGCUUCAGGGAUACGAUAUGGGGUCUGUGAGUGGCUAGCGGAGUGUACCCGGGCAAAUUGGAGAAGGUGGCUCCUUUAGCCGUGAUCAACUCUUGUACCUGAGCCCGCUCCUGAGGGCUUAGCCGCUCCCCCAGCUGAACCCCCGUGGAGGGCUCUGUCUGGUCAUCCUGUUCUAAUAGGUCAGGUAGUGGCAGGUUCUCCUGAUCCUCAGAGGCGGAGGCGCAUAUUGCUGCCACGUUCUCUAUCCUCUCAUGAUAGGGUUUGAGCAUAUUCACGUGGAGCAUGCGUGGAGCAGGGGCCAAUCACAUAGGUGGUGUCACAUCUCUGUUCCACCACCUGGUAUGGGCCCUGCCAGCCCCUGCAGCUUCUCUGUGCGGACCGGUUUUAAAAUCAACACCUUCUGUCCCACUUGAAAGCUGCGGUCUCUGGCUCCCUUAUCGUACCAGCGGCACUGGAGUUGUUGGGCCACCUGGAUGUUGGUGCGCACGGCCUGGGUUAGUGCCUCCAAGCGGUCCCUGAACUCCAGCACGUAUGGUACAAUGGGGGUCCUAUCUGUGGUACUCUCUCCCUCCCAAUGCUCUCUAAUUAAGUCUAACGGCCCUCACACCCUUCUCCCAAACAGCAAUUCGAACGGGGAAAAUCCUGUCGACUCCUGGGGUACCUCCCUAUAGGCGAAGAGCAGAUGGGGUAGAAAUCGCUCCCAGUCCAAACGUACGGAGCAUCUGUUUCAGGGUACCGUUAAAUCUUUCGCAUAAACCAUUGGACUGGGGGUGAUACGUGGAAUUUACUAUCGGCUUAAUGCCCCAUAUCUUCCACAGUUGUUGGGUGACCUCGGCGGUGAACUGGGUACCCCUAUCGGAUAUGAUCUCUUGGGGAAACCCCACCCUGGAGAAUAUUUUCAUUAAGGCCUCGGCCACAGUUUCUGCGUGAAUGUUGGAGAGGGCGAUGGCCUUGGGGUACCGGGUGGCGUAGUCCGCUGUAUCUUGACUGGAGUCUCACCGUCUUCUUUCCACCCUGGAUCAGCUUCUGUCCUCCAGGACUGUGUGGGAAAGAACUCUUCCUUCCACCCUGUACGAACCUCCAGCAUCCAGGACUGUGUGGUGAAGACCCCUCCUCCAAGGAGAACGUGUCAGGAACAAGCUCUUAAAAGAGCUAAGUGAUUCAAGCUCAGGGGAGCAUGCAGAGCAUAGCAAUCCCCAGUGUGAUUAUAACAGCUCCCUCCAAUAAUGAGACAAGGCUACAUUUAGAGGGAUCAAGAAGAACUGUCUAAACCUUUAUUUCCCUUGGGACCAGCCCAUAGGGUCACCACAAUAACAUUGUAGUGAAACAUCAAUAAAAUCAAAAACAGUCAAACCAUAGCAGGCAACACACAGUGACUUAUCACAACACAAUGGCACAUUUUUAAAGGGGUGGGGGAGACAAUAUUUAACAGUAAAUAUCUCACCUGCCUGCAGAAUUAGCAAUAUGUAAAUCUACCCGAAUAUGCAAAUGCACCAGUCUUGCAAUUCAGGUAGUGCAUAUUACUGUUGCUACCAACAGAGGGCACUAGACAAGCUCCAUAGACAAACCCACCUAGUUGGUAGCAAACCUCAGCAGUACAGGAGAGCAGGCAAUACAUUUCACAGUACACACACACACUAUAAACAAUUACAUUACACACACCCUGCACCUAUAAUGGGUACAGGGUGACUAAAACAUAAGAUAAAUAAAGCAGCCUACAUAAAUAGUCUGUCUGAAG